GUGGGGGAAGCACUAACACUCACUAGGGGUGUAAAUCCGGACCGGAUAUAUCCGGCCAGGAAACCGGCUCCGGGCAUUACCCGGCUCCGGGAAACCGGGAAUCCGGGAAAUCCGGUUGGAACCCGGAUACCCGGAUCCGGGUAUCCAUUUCAAAAAAUCCCGGAUAUACCCGGGUACCCGGCUCCGGGUGGGUUAUUUAAUUAAAAAAUGAAAAAUUACCUCCCUGCCCUUUUAUCCUAAAACUACAUGCAUAGGAAGAGGGGGAGGACUAUUUGGUCAUUCUCUGUUGAUUCAUUGUUGCCCUAAGCUAUCAGAUCAUCCAAAUCAAGAAUCAAGUAUCAAAACUUCAAAAGCUUCAAAACUCAUCUCCUGCUCAAGCCUCACUGCCGCCGGCCUGCCGCUCCAUUUCUCUUCACCUUCAGAACCCAUCUCCUGCUCACGGCGACACGGCAUCACAUUGUUCACGGCAUCACGGCAUCACUGUUGGGGUUUCUCUUCUUCUUGGGUGUAGAUCUACGGUGGUUGGGCUUUCUCCGGCGGUCUCGCGCCCCUUCCUGAGGCCUCGCCGGCUUGUUCCGAUCUUUCCCGUCGUCGUCGUGGUUGGCCGCCGCGCCGUUGUGAGUGGUCGAUGGGUUCUUUAGCUUCAUGGGUUGUAGAUCUACGGUGCUUGGGUCUUCAUCCAUGUGCUCGUGCCUCACCGGAGGGUUUCCCGUCGUGGUUCGGCUCUUCCCCGCCGCCAGAUCAGCUGCGGUGGCCUCCACGCGCCGGUUCACCGCGCGUGAGCGUGGGUGUUUGAUGAGUGCCAAAAAGACAAUAAGAGAGGAAUGACAAACUUCAUAAAGAAAUAGCGGGAAAUUCGGAUGCAGCAGACCACUACAUUUAGACUGAUCAUAACAGGACCAAACGAUAUCCGUUUUGGGAGUUUCUUAGGUCUAAAUUGAAUUUCAAGAUGUCAGCUUUCCAAAGCAACAAGUUUCAGCCAAUUUGGAGACCCUGACAAGUCGAUCGAUCGAAAAGUCGAUCGAUCAAAAUAAAAGUCGAUCGAUCGAACUUAUGCGGAGCUGGAAUUCCAGAAACCCUAGCUAACUCUAUAAAUACAUUCUAUUCUCAUUUCUUACGAGGGGAGGCCGCUUGAGAGCGCCCUAGGGGCCGUUCUCUCUGUAGUUUAGGGCUUCUUGUGUAUAUUUUCUCUUAGAACUUCAAAUCCUUGUAAGUUUCUUUGAUUUUAAUGCAUUCCUUUUGUUUAUUUA